rnacentral:rRNA from 1 species
GAUUAAGUUAUUAAGGGCGCACGGUGGAUGCCUUGGCACUAGAAGCCGAUGAAGGACGUUACUAACGACGAUAUGCUUUGGGGAGCUGUAAGUAAGCUUUGAUCCAGAGAUUUCCGAAUGGGGAAACCCAGCAUGAGUUAUGUCAUGUUAUCGAUAUGUGAAUACAUAGCAUAUCAGAAGGCACACCCGGAGAACUGAAACAUCUUAGUACCCGGAGGAAGAGAAAGAAAAUUCGAUUCCCUUAGUAGCGGCGAGCGAAACGGGAAGAGCCCAAACCAACAAGCUUGCUUGUUGGGGUUGUAGGACACUCUAUACGGAGUUACAAAGGACGACAUUAGACGAAUCAUCUGGAAAGAUGAAUCAAAGAAGGUAAUAAUCCUGUAGUCGAAAAUGUUGUCUCUCUUGAGUGGAUCCUGAGUACGACGGAGCACGUGAAAUUCCGUCGGAAUUUGGGAGGACCAUCUCCUAAGGCUAAAUACUCUCUAGUGACCGAUAGCGAACCAGUACCGUGAGGGAAAGGUGAAAAGCACCCCGGAAGGGGAGUGAAAUAGAACCUGAAACCGUGUGCUUACAAGUAGUCAGAGCCCGUUAAUGGGUGAUGGCGUGCCUUUUGUAGAAUGAACCGGCGAGUUACGAUUUGAUGCAAGGUUAAGCAGUAAAUGUGGAGCCGUAGCGAAAGCGAGUCUGAAUAGGGCGUUUAGUAUUUGGUCGUAGACCCGAAACCAGGUGAUCUACCCUUGGUCAGGUUGAAGUUCAGGUAACACUGAAUGGAGGACCGAACCGACUUACGUUGAAAAGUGAGCGGAUGAACUGAGGGUAGCGGAGAAAUUCCAAUCGAACCUGGAGAUAGCUGGUUCUCUCCGAAAUAGCUUUAGGGCUAGCCUCAAGUGAUGAUUAUUGGAGGUAGAGCACUGUUUGGACGAGGGGCCCCUCUAGGGUUACCGAAUUCAGACAAACUCCGAAUGCCAAUUAAUUUAACUUGGGAGUCAGAACAUGGGUGAUAAGGUCCGUGUUCGAAAGGGAAACAGCCCAGACCACCAGCUAAGGUCCCAAAAUAUAUGUUAAGUGGAAAAGGAUGUGGCGUUGCCCAGACAACUAGGAUGUUGGCUUAGAAGCAGCCAUCAUUUAAAGAGUGCGUAAUAGCUCACUAGUCGAGUGACACUGCGCCGAAAAUGUACCGGGGCUAAACAUAUUACCGAAGCUGUGGAUUGUCCUUUGGACAAUGGUAGGAGAGCGUUCUAAGGGCGUUGAAGCAUGAUCGUAAGGACAUGUGGAGCGCUUAGAAGUGAGAAUGCCGGUGUGAGUAGCGAAAGACGGGUGAGAAUCCCGUCCACCGAUUGACUAAGGUUUCCAGAGGAAGGCUCGUCCGCUCUGGGUUAGUCGGGUCCUAAGCUGAGGCCGACAGGCGUAGGCGAUGGAUAACAGGUUGAUAUUCCUGUACCACCUAUAAUCGUUUUAAUCGAUGGGGGGACGCAGUAGGAUAGGCGAAGCGUGCGAUUGGAUUGCACGUCUAAGCAGUAAGGCUGAGUAUUAGGCAAAUCCGGUACUCAUUAAGGCUGAGCUGUGAUGGGGAGAAGACAUUGUGUCUUCGAGUCGUUGAUUUCACACUGCCGAGAAAAGCCUCUAGAUAGAAAAUAGGUGCCCGUACCGCAAACCGACACAGGUAGUCAAGAUGAGAAUUCUAAGGUGAGCGAGCGAACUCUCGUUAAGGAACUCGGCAAAAUGACCCCGUAACUUCGGGAGAAGGGGUGCUCUUUAGGGUUAACGCCCAGAAGAGCCGCAGUGAAUAGGCCCAAGCGACUGUUUAUCAAAAACACAGGUCUCUGCUAAACCGUAAGGUGAUGUAUAGGGGCUGACGCCUGCCCGGUGCUGGAAGGUUAAGAGGAGUGGUUAGCUUCUGCGAAGCUACGAAUCGAAGCCCCAGUAAACGGCGGCCGUAACUAUAACGGUCCUAAGGUAGCGAAAUUCCUUGUCGGGUAAGUUCCGACCCGCACGAAAGGCGUAACGAUUUGGGCACUGUCUCAACGAGAGACUCGGUGAAAUCAUAGUACCUGUGAAGAUGCAGGUUACCCGCGACAGGACGGAAAGACCCCGUGGAGCUUUACUGUAGCCUGAUAUUGAAAUUCGGCACAGCUUGUACAGGAUAGGUAGGAGCCUUUGAAACGUGAGCGCUAGCUUACGUGGAGGCGCUGGUGGGAUACUACCCUAGCUGUGUUGGCUUUCUAACCCGCACCACUUAUCGUGGUGGGAGACAGUGUCAGGCGGGCAGUUUGACUGGGGCGGUCGCCUCCUAAAAGGUAACGGAGGCGCUCAAAGGUUCCCUCAGAAUGGUUGGAAAUCAUUCAUAGAGUGUAAAGGCAUAAGGGAGCUUGACUGCGAGACCUACAAGUCGAGCAGGGUCGAAAGACGGACUUAGUGAUCCGGUGGUUCCGCAUGGAAGGGCCAUCGCUCAACGGAUAAAAGCUACCCCGGGGAUAACAGGCUUAUCUCCCCCAAGAGUUCACAUCGACGGGGAGGUUUGGCACCUCGAUGUCGGCUCAUCGCAUCCUGGGGCUGUAGUCGGUCCCAAGGGUUGGGCUGUUCGCCCAUUAAAGCGGUACGCGAGCUGGGUUCAGAACGUCGUGAGACAGUUCGGUCCCUAUCCGUCGUGGGCGUAGGAAAUUUGAGAGGAGCUGUCCUUAGUACGAGAGGACCGGGAUGGACAUACCUCUGGUGUACCAGUUGUCGUGCCAACGGCAUAGCUGGGUAGCUAUGUGUGGACGGGAUAAGUGCUGAAAGCAUCUAAGCAUGAAGCCCCCCUCAAGAUGAGAUUUCCCAACUUCGGUUAUAAGAUCCCUCAAAGAUGAUGAGGUUAAUAGGUUCGAGGUGGAAGCAUGGUGACAUGUGGAGCUGACGAAUACUAAUCGAUCGAAGACUUAAUCAA